rnacentral:lncRNA from 10 species
CUUCUUCCCCUCCCUCCAUCCUUUCUUUCUUCCCCUUUGAUCUUUUUUGUCUCUCAGCAACAAUGGACCUCCAGUCGGCCCUGCUUUUUUCCCAGGAAUGUUUAUGGCACUCUUUCCCACUUGUUUUUAUUUCCAAACGUGUAACAGGCCACCCAUCAAAGGAUGGAAUAGGGAAGAAAGUGAGAAGAGAGAGGUCGAGGGAGCAGUCAUCGGGUAGCUGCUCCUGGCCUUUGAGUAAGCCGUUUGCCCACUCGAUUUGUCAGUUUGUUUGGCCCUCGAUGGGGAGGCAUCCAUCCUUGACCCUCGGAGAGUCCUGAGAGACAGGAGGAGAGGGGUUCUCCAUGGCAGUGAGGGGUUCCCUAGCAGGGACCCUAGAGAGAAACGGCUCCAGACCAGGCUUUCCCGGCUCGGUGCUGCUGACAGUCGGGCUGGUCUGCUGUGGGGCCGUCCUGUGCACUGUAGGAUGUCUAGUGACACCCCAACCUUAAACUGUGACAAACAAAAUUGAACCCAGACUUGGCCAGGUGUUCCCUGGACACAAAAUCACCACUGGCUGAGAACCACAGGUCUCCGUGUCCAGAGGCCCUGCAGGGUGCCCCAUGGCCAGUGGCUGUGUGGACUUGGUGCAGAGAAGCCUCUGGGGCCUGCUGCUCU